GCUCUGUCUGUCUCUUCAGAUUUUAUUUUUAAGGAAUCUGUACACCCAACGUGGGGCUCGAACUUACAAUCCUGAGGUCAAGAGCUGUCUGCUCUGCUGACUGAGCUAGCCGGAGGCUCCCCGCGCCAAUUGUUUUUAAUCCCGGCUCUGACCUGUGUCUGAAAUCUCCAAAUGCCCCCUUAACAUCCCCCAGUGGAUCUGAGGAACACCCCGUGUAACACGGCCCAAACAGGCGCCUCCCACUGCUGCCCUACCACUUUCUAGUGUUUUCGAGCCUACUCAACAGCCUCUCCAUCUGUUUUGUAAUUUCAGUCCCAAAUAUCAGAAUUACCUUAGAUUCUCACCUUUCCCUUAUCUUCCACAGCGAUCUACCAACGACUUUAUCAACUCGAUUUGUAAGACAUGUUCCCAACCUGUCCACUGCUCUCUCACCCCCAGUGCAGCCCUUCAUUCUCUCACCUGGACCGUAAAUCUUCUCCUGAUUGACCUGAUUCUACUUUGGCUUCACUAUAAUCCAUUCUGACUUCGGCCGCGUGCCCUUGUUAAAGGAUCUUGUCACCCCUCUGCUUAAACAGAGGCCCGGAACUAAAUGUGAAACCGAGGUGGACCCACGGUUUGAACUUCCCCAGAGGUGAUGCACGGAGGGCGAAUGAACACAUGAAAAGUGCUCAGCACCACCGGUCCCUGGGAAGCUCCACCUAAAACCUAGGGAGAUCUUGUUCCUCUGCCCCAAACCAGCAAGCUCCCAUCACGGCUCACGGGCACUAACCGGUGCUAACCGGUCAUGGUCCAUUCUCAUAGCAGCUGCAUGACCUUGUUGCAUGGCCCGGUCACUUCCCUGGCUGAAGCCCUUCCCUCAAGCCCUAACGUAAGGGUGCGGGGUUCCGUGGAGAAAGGGCGGCCCUUCAACAGCUGCAGCCGGGACACGGGACAAUCCGAACAAAGGGAUUCGGUCACACCUUGCCCCAUACACAGAACUACCUCACAGUGGGGCUUGGCCCUAAAUGUGAACCCACAAUCACAAACUCCUGAAGGAAAACAUGGGAGGAAAUCUUG